rnacentral:rRNA from 1 species
UACGAAGGGGGGCUAGCGUUGCUCGGAAUCACUGGGCGUAAAGCGCACGUAGGCGGCUUCUUAAGUCAGGGGGUGAAAUCCUGGAGCUCAACUCCAGAACUGCCUUUGAUACUGAGAAGCUUGAGUCCGGGAGAGGUGAGUGGAACUGCGAGUGUAGAGGUGAAAUUCGUAGAUAUUACGCAAGAACACCAGUGGCGAAGGCG